rnacentral:rRNA from 1 species
UACGGAGGAUCCAAGCGUUAUCCGGAUUUAUUGGGCUUAAAGGGCGCGUAGGCGGCCUAUUAAGUCAGGGGUGAAAGCCGGUAGCUUAACUAUCGCAGUGCCCUUGAUACUGAUGGACUUGAAUAUACUUGAGGUAGGCGGAAUGUGACAAGUAGCGGUGAAAUGCAUAGAUAUGUCACAGAACACCAAUUGCGAAGGCAGCUUACUAAGGUAUGAUUGACGCUGAGGCACGAAAGCGUGGGGAUCAAACAGG